rnacentral:rRNA from 1 species
AUGAUCAAUGAUCUAGCAGCUGCAGCAGGAGCAGCCGCAGCUGGUGCCGCACUUGCACUGGGUGCAGCCGCAGCCGCCGUUCUCGGCCGCCAUCUCCAUGCCGCCGGAGCUCCUGCACGUACCCCACCCAUACCAAGAUCAACAUACAGUCAUAUUGUUACGAUCGAGUGCAUGAUAUAUGAGGAAGGAGAAGGGACGUACGCCUUGUGGGUGGCGGUGGCGGAGACGAGGAGGGUGGCGCCGGCGGCCUCGGCCUCCGGGUACAUGUUGCAGCCGCCGCAGCCGUUGCCGCACUUGCAGGCGGUGCCGCAGCCGCAGUUUCCUCCGCAGCAAGACAUCCUCGGUUCGGUUGGAGCUUCGGAGAUGGAGAGGCUUUGA